GAUUGCCUCAGUAACGGCGAGUGAAGCGGCAAAAGCUCAAAUUUUAAAGCUGGCACCUUCGGUGUCCGCGUUGUAAUUUUGUGAGGCAUCUCCGGGUAGGGCGCCGGCCUAAGUUCCUUGGAACAGGACGUCAUAGAGGGUGAGAAUCCCGUGCUUGGCUGGCUGUCCCCGUCCAUGUGAGGUGUCUUCGACGAGUCGAGUUGUUUGGGAAUGCAGCUCAAAAUGGGUGGUAAAUUUCAUCUAAAGCUAAAUAUUGGUGGGAGACCGAUAGCGCACAAGUAGAGUGAUCGAAAGAUGAAAAGCACUUUGAAAAUAGAGUUAAAAAGUACGUGAAAUUGUUGAAAGGGAAGCGCUUGAGACCAGACUUCGGUGGGGAGUGAUCAGCUGUCCUUCUGGGCGGUGCACUUGCUCCCCUCCGGGCCAGCAUCGGUUGGGACGGCGGGAUAAAGGUCCCGGGAAUGUGGCUCCUCUCGGGGAGUGUUAUAGCCCGGGUGAAUGCCGCCAGCCCCGACCGAGGACCGCGCCUUCGGGCUAGGAUG
rnacentral:rRNA from 5 species